UACGGAGGGUCCAAGCGUUAUCCGGAAUCAUUGGGUUUAAAGGGUCCGUAGGCGGUUUUGAUAAGUCAGUGGUGAAAGCCCAUCGCUCAACGGUGGAACGGCCAUUGAUACUGUCAAGACUUGAAUUAUUAGGAAGUAACUAGAAUAUGUAGUGUAGCGGUGAAAUGCUUAGAGAUUACAUGGAAUACCAAUUGCGAAGGCAGGUUACUACUAAUGGAUUGACGCUGAUGGACGAAAGCGUGGGUAGCGAACAGG
rnacentral:rRNA from 1 species